rnacentral:rRNA from 1 species
UUUAUUGGAGAGUUUGAUCCUGGCUCAGGAUGAACGCUGGCGGCGUGCCUAAUACAUGCAAGUCGAGCGAAUGGAUUAAGAGCUUGCUCUUAUGAAGUUAGCGGCGGACGGGUGAGUAACACGUGGGUAACCUGCCCAUAAGACUGGGAUAACUCCGGGAAACCGGGGCUAAUACCGGAUAACAUUUUGAACCGCAUGGUUCGAAAUUGAAAGGCGGCUUCGGCUGUCACUUAUGGAUGGACCCGCGUCGCAUUAGCUAGUUGGUGAGGUAACGGCUCACCAAGGCAACGAUGCGUAGCCGACCUGAGAGGGUGAUCGGCCACACUGGGACUGAGACACGGCCCA